rnacentral:rRNA from 1 species
UGCAACAUCUGCUGGCGAGCUGCUCAUUCUGUCAGCAGGUUUGGCACGACAUUCUUGGUUGGGCUAGAUCAUCUUCUGAUCUACCGCAUGACGACACAGCUUUCCAGACGUGGUGGGCUACAUCUUGCGCCCACACACCCGCUUCUGCUCGCAGGGGUCUGGCGUCCCUCAUCAUCCUCACUGCUUGGUGGCUUUGGAAGCACUGGAACAACUGCAUCUUCAACGACGAGCGGCCAUCGGUUACCUGUCUCUCCACCACCAUCAAAGACGAGGCUUGUCUUUGAGCAAAGGCCGGCUCAACCGGGAUAA